rnacentral:rRNA from 1 species
CCACACGGGGAUUGAGACACGGCCCAGACUCAUACGGGAGGCAGCAGUGGGGAAUUUUGGACAAUGGGCGCAAGCCUGAUCCAGCCAUGCCGCGUGUGUGAAGAAGGCCUUCGGGUUGUAAAGCACUUUCGGACGGAACGAAAUCGCGCGGGUUAACAGCCCGCGUGGAUGACGGUACCGUAAGAAGAAGCACCGGCUAACUACGUGCCAGCAGCCGCGGUAAUACGUAGGGUGCGAGCGUUAAUCGGAAUUACUGGGUGUAAAGGGUUCGUAGGCGGUGUGGCAAGUCGGGAGUGAAAUCUCUGGGCUCAACCCAGAGGCUGCCUCCGAAACUGCCGUGCUUGAGUGUGGGAGAGGCGCGUGGAAUUGCAGGUGUAGCGGUGAAAUGCGUAGAUAUCUGCAGGAACACCCGUGGCGAAAGCGGCGCGCUGGACCACAACUGACGCUGAGGAACGAAAGCUAGGGGAGCAAACAGGAUUAGAUACCCUGGUAGUCCUAGCCCUAAACGAUCAGGACUUGGGGUGCCGCACGUUCGUGCGUCGUCCCGGAGCUAACGCGUUAAGUCCUGCACCUGGGGAGUACGGUCGCAAGACUGAAACUCAAAGGAAUUGACG